rnacentral:rRNA from 1 species
UACGUAGGUGGCAAGCGUUGUCCGGAAUUACUGGGUGUAAAGGGCGUGUAGGCGGGAAUGCAAGUCAGAUGUGAAAUCCCAGGGCUUAACUCUGGAGCUGCAUCUGAAACUGUGUUUCUUGAGUGUCGGAGAGGAAAGUGGAAUUCCCAGAGUAGCGGUGAAAUGCGUAGAGAUUGGGAGGAACACCAGUGGCGAAGGCGGCUUUCUGGACGAUAACUGACGCUGAGGCGCGAAAGCGUGGGGAGCAAACAGG